UACGUAGGGGGCAAGCGUUGUCCGGAAUCAUUGGGCGUAAAGAGCGUGUAGGCGGUUCAGUAAGUCUGCUGUGAAAGUCCAGGGCUCAACCCUGGGAUGCCGGUGGAUACUGCUGAGCUAGAGUACGGAAGAGGCGAGUGGAAUUCCCGGUGUAGCGGUGAAAUGCGCAGAUAUCGGGAGGAACACCUAUUGCGAAGGCAGCUCGCUGGGACGUUACUGACGCUGAGACGCGAAAGCGUGGGGAUCAAACAGG
rnacentral:rRNA from 1 species